UCUUUUUUUUUUUUUAGAUUCCACAUAUAAGCAAUAUCAUAUGAUAUUUGUCUUUCCAUGUCUGGCUUACUUCACUUAGUAUGAUCAUCUCUAGGUCCAUCCAUGUUACUGCAAAUGGCAUUAUUUCAUUCUUUGUUAUGGCUGAGUAAUAUUCCAUCGUGUAUAUAUACCACAUCUUCUUUCUUGAAAGCCUUAUACAGCAUCAGAAAGAGCCGGGAUUGGCAUUUCUCCUCGAGUAAGAUGCUAAACCUGUCAGUUGUUGCCCAGUGUCCUGUGAAAUAAUUACAUCUGCAAGGAUUUUGGCAUAAAGAGCAACGUUGUUCCACCCAAAUAAACUCCUGCUUUGCCCAGCCACCUCUGUGGAGGUUGUCAGAUCCGUGAUAGGACACUGAAUAAGCGCCAUUCUGACAUGGAGGAGUGCAAUCUUAUCUCACCAUAAAGGUAAUGAGAUAAGGUAAUGAGUGAGAGCCUGGUUUUCAACAAGAGUCCAUUAUGUUUGAACGAUAUUUGUUUAAAUCGUCCAACUGAUUUCAUGUUUACUGAAAGAGAUAUGUUUCUAACAGUGUUGCUUAAGCAGAUGUGGUCUUUGGUUAGGAGUAACGGAAGCGGAGUUGAGACUUCUGACCCUUAUUGUCAUGUUAAUCACUUAUCGCUGGUUAAGCAUCCCUGGAUUUCUGGUAGCUUAUUUCUAUUAGUUGGUAUUAAAUCUUUGAAAAAUGCUUUGAAAUUUUUAGAUGAACACAGCCACAUGAUCUGUGAAUUCAUCCAAUAUGCUUCAUGCCCUUGAAGCCUGCCUUAGCAUUGUCAUAGAUCUCAAGGGCAAAGGCCAAAUUUAUUUUCUACAUCACCAAAUAGGAUAUCAAACAAAUAUGCAAUUAAUGGAAUGUGGAGGUUUGGUGACAAAUUUUGAUCCUUUUCACAGUUCCAAGGAUAGAUCGAUUUACCAGGAAGCUGAAU